AAUUCAAAAUAGAAACAAAAAAAGACAAAUUCAGAUGUGAAUAGUGUCAUUUUUGUUUUUGUCUUGUUUUGACAAUAUUCAUGAUGGAUUUGCCGUUUUUGUUUCACUUUGUGUAUGUCGAAUUUUGAUCUGAUUUUUUAGCGGUUGUUAACCCAUGUGUUGCGAACAUCUAUGAUAUUUUUUCAGAAUUUUUUGACACGUCCAAAUUUGAAUCUUACAAGUUGGUAUCAUGGUAUCAUUGAAGGACUGAUAUCACCUGAAGCUUUCCCACACAAACACGUCGACCCCAUGGCCACAACGCCACCUAGCUUCCCCUCCCCGUGGCACGCUCCAAUGCCACUCCGAAAAAUUUCUCCAUUGAUUUCCACACGGCCCAGAUGCUAGCCUACACAAAAUGCUACUAGCUUACACAAACACGGGAAAGGACAAUAUGCUGAUACCAACUCUUCAAUGCUACCAACUUGCAAAAUUCAAAUUUAAAUAUGUCAAAAAAUUCUGAAAAAAAUCAUGCAUGUUCACAACACAUAUGUCGACAACCCCUAAAAAUUCAGUUCAAAAUUCAAAAUAGAAACAAAAAAAGACAAAUUCAGAUGUGAAUAGUGUCAUUUUUGUUUUUGUCUUGUUUUGACAAUAUUCAUGAUGGAUUUGCCGUUUUUGUUUCACUUUGUGUAUGUCGAAUUUUGAUCUGAUUUUUUAGCGGUUGUUAACCCAUGUGUUGCGAACAUCUAUGAUAUUUUUUCAGAAUUUUUUGACACGUCCAAAUUUGAAUCUUACAAGUUGGUAUCAUGGUAUCAUUGAAGGACUGAUAUCACCUGAAGCUUUCCCACACAAACAUGUCGACCCCAUGGCCACAACGCCACCUAGCUUCCCCUCCCCGCGGCACGCCCCAAUGCCACUCCGAAAAAUUUCUCCAUUGAUUUCCACACGGCCCAGAUGCUAGCCUACACAAAAUGCUACUAGCUUACACAAACACGGGAAAGGACAAUAUGCUGAUAUCAACUCUUAAAUGCUACCAACUUGCAAAAUUCAAAUUUAAACAUGUCAAAAAAUUCUGAAAAAAAUCAUGCAUGUUCACAACACAUAUGUCGACAACCCCUAAAAAAUUCAGUUCAAAAUUCAAAAUAGAAACAAAAAAAGACAAAUUCAGAUGUGAAUAGUGUCAUUUUUGUUUUUGUCUUGUUUUGACAAUAUUCAUGAUGGAUUUGCCUUUUUGUUUCACUUUGUGUAUGUCGAAUUUUGAUCUGAUUUUUUAGCGGUUGUUAACCCAUGUGUUGCGAACAUCUAUGAUAUUUUUUCAGAAUUUUUGACACGUCCAAAUUUGAAUCUUACAAGUUGGUAUCAUGGUAUCAUUGAAGGACUGAUAUCACCUGAAGCUUUCCCACACAAACACGUCGACCCCAUGGCCACAACGCCACCUAGCUUCCCCUCCCCGCGGCACGCUCCAAUGCCACUCCGAAAAAUUUCUCCAUUGAUUUCCACACGGCCCAGAUGCUAGCCUACACAAAUGCUACUAGCUUACACAAACACGGGAAAGGACAAUAUGCUGAUGCCAACUCUUAAAUGCUACCAACUUGCAAAAUUCAAAUUUAAACAUGUCAAAAAAUUCUGAAAAAAAUCAUGCAUGUUCACAACACAUAUGUCGACAACCCCUAAAAAAUUCAGUUCGAAAUUCAAAAUAGAAACAAAAAAAGACAAAUUCAGAUGUGAAUAGUGUCAUUUUUGUUUUUGUCUUGUUUUGACAAUAUUCAUGAUGGAUUUGCCGUUUUUUUUUUCACUUUGUGUAUGUCGAAUUUUGAUCUGAUUUUUUAGCGGUUGUUAACCCAUGUGUUGCGAACAUCUAUGAUAUUUUUCAGAAUUUUUUGACACAUCCAAAUUUGAAUCUUACAAGUUGGUAUCAUGGUAUCAUUGAAGGACUGAUAUCACCUGAAGCUUUCCCACACAAACACGUCGACCCCAUGGCCAGAACGCCACCUAGCUUCCCCUCCCCGCGGCACGCUCCAAUGCCACUCCGAAAAAUUUCUCCAUUGAUUUCCACACGGCCCAGAUGCUAGCCUACACAAAAUGCUACUAGCUUACACAAACACGGGAAAGGACAAUAUGCUGAUAUCAACUCUUUAAUGCUACCAACUUGCAAAAUUCAAAUUUAAACAUGUCAAAAAAUUCUGAAAAAAAUCAUGCAUGUUCACAACACAUAUGUCGACAACCCCUAAAAAUUCAGUUCAAAAUUCAAAAUAGAAACAAAAAAAGACAAAUUCAGAUGUGAAUAGUGUCAUUUUUAUUUUUGUCUUGUUUUGACAAUAUUCAUGAUGGAUUUGCCGUUUUUGUUUCACUUUGUGUAUGUCGAAUUUUGAUCUGAUUUUUUAGCGGUUGUUAACCCAUGUGUUGCGAACAUCUAUGAUAUUUUUUCAGAAUUUUUUGACACGUCCAAAUUUGAAUCUUACAAGUUGGUAUCAUGGUAUCAUUGAAGGACUGAUAUCACCUGAAGCUUUCCCACACAAACACGUCGACCCCAUGGCCACAACGCCACCUAGCUUCCCCUCCCCGCGGCACGCUCCAAUGCCACUCCGAAAAAUUUCUCCAUUGAUUUCCACACGGCCCAGAUGCUAGCCUACACAAAAUGCUACUAGCUUACACAAACACGGGAAAGGACAAUAUGCUGAUACCAACUCUUAAAUGCUACCAACUUGCAAAAUUCAAAUUUAAACAUGUCAAAAAAUUCUGAAAAAAAUCAUGCAUGUUCACAACACAUAUGUCGACAACCCCUAAAAAAGUCAGUUCAAAAUUCAAAAUAGAAACAAAAAAAGACAAAUUCAUAUGUGAAUAGUGUCAUUUUUGUUUUUGUCUUGUUUUGACAAUAUUCAUGAUGGAUUUGCCGUUUUUGUUUCACUUUGUGUAUGUCGAAUUUUGAUCUGAUUUUUUAGCGGUUGUUAACCCAUGUGUUGCGAACAUCUAUGAUAUUUUUUCAGAAUUUUUUGACACGUCCAAAUUUGAAUCUUACAAGUUGGUAUCAUGGUAUCAUUGAAGGACUGAUAUCACCUGAAGCUUUCCCACACAAACACGUCGACCCCAUGGCCACAACGCCACCUAGCUUCCCCUCCCCGCGGCACGCUCCAAUGCCACUCCGAAAAAUUUCUCCAUUGAUUUCCACACGGCCCAGAUGCUAGCCUACACAAAAUGCUACUAGCUUACACAAACACGGGAAAGGACAAUAUGCUGAUAUCAACUCUUAAAUGCUACCAACUUGCAAAAUUCAAAUUUAAACAUGUCAAAAAAUUCUGAAAAAAAUCAUGCAUGUUCACAACACAUAUGUCGACAACCCCUAAAAAAGUCAGUUCAAAAUUCAAAAUAGAAACAAAAAAAGACAAAUUCAGAUGUGAAUAGUGUCAUUUUUGUUUUUGUCUUGUUUUGACAAUAUUCAUGAUGGAUUUGCCGUUUUUGUUUCACUUUGUGUAUGUCGAAUUUUGAUCUGAUUUUUUAGCGGUUGUUAACCCAUGUGUUGCGAACAUCUAUGAUAUUUUUUCAGAAUUUUUUGACACGUCCAAAUUUGAAUCUUACAAGUUGGUAUCAUGGUAUCAUUGAAGGACUGAUAUCACCUGAAGCUUUCCCACACAAACACGUCGACCCCAUGGCCAGAACGCCACCUAGCUUCCCCUCCCCGCGGCACGCUCCAAUGCCACUCCGAAAAAUUUCUCCAUUGAUUUCCACACGGCCCAGAUGCUAGCCUACACAAAAUGCUACUAGCUUACACAAACACGGGAAAGGACAAUAUGCUGAUACCAACUCUUAAAUGCUACCAACUUGCAAAAUUCAAAUUUAAACAUGUCAAAAAAUUCUGAAAAAAAUCAUGCAUGUUCACAACACAUAUGUCGACAACCCCUAAAAAAGUCAGUUCAAAAUUCAAAAUAGAAACAAAAAAAGACAAAUUCAGAUGUGAAUAGUGUCAUUUUUGUUUUUGUCUUGUUUUGACAAUAUUCAUGAUGGAUUUGCCGUUUUUGUUUCACUUUGUGUAUGUCGAAUUUUGAUCUGAUUUUUUAGCGGUUGUUAACCCAUGUGUUGCGAACAUCUAUGAUAUUUUUUCAGAAUUUUUUGACACGUCCAAAUUUGAAUCUUACAAGUUGGUAUCAUGGUAUCAUUGAAGGACUGAUAUCACCUGAAGCUUUCCCACACAAACACGUCGACCCCAUGGCCAGAACGCCACCUAGCUUCCCCUCCCCGUGGC
rnacentral:lncRNA from 1 species